AUGAGGUUUUAAGGCGUCCCUGUCCAUUGGACAUUCGGCCGCCUGUAAAGAAUCUGUUUGCUAGAAAAAUAUCGAAUUGCUUGAAUUUUGAUAUUGCAAGUGCUCAUUUACUUCAAUUAAGUGUGUGAGUUCUAAAAUUUUGACCUUUAAAGUGCUCGGUAACGCGUUGUGGGUUUCUUGGGAGGUGAGUGGGAUCCUGGGACUUACUUUACCUACUGUUAGAAUUAGUUUUACGUUAUAGUUACUUUAAAGGGUUGUUAAGAUACCAUUUUGUCCUCCAUCAAGACAAUAAAUUCGAUUUGGGAUUAAUUUUGCCAUGGUGCCGGCACAUGGCCUACUCUUCACGAACUACACCAUGGGUUCUUUAUCGUGCGGGUUAGGAGGCAAUCCCCACACCCCCUCUCACGCCGGGUGUCGCGUUCACCCUACAAUGCCGGGUGGUGCAUGGGCCUAAAUAAUUAUUGUUUGGUCAUGUUGCA